rnacentral:rRNA from 1 species
ACGGGAGGCAGCAGCUAAGAAUAUUCCGCAAUGGACGAAAGUCUGACGGAGCGACGCCGCGUGGAUGAAGAAGGCCGGAAGGUUGUAAAAUCCUUUUAAACAGGAAGAAUAAGUACUGAAGGGAAUGUCAGUAUGGUGACGGUACUGUUUGAAUAAGCAACGGCUAAUUACGUGCCAGCAGCCGCGGUAACACGUAAGUUGCGAGCGUUGUUCGGAAUUAUUGGGCGUAAAGGGCAUGUAGGCGGUUUUGCAAGCUUGGUGUGAAAUCCCGGAGCUUAACUCCGGAAUUGCGUUGAGAACUGCAUAACUAGAGUCACUGAGGGGCAAUCAGAAUUCCAGGUGUAGGGGUGAAAUCUGUAGAUAUCUGGAAGAAUACCAAUGGCGAAGGCAGGUUACCAGCAGAUGACUGACGCUGAGGUGCGAAGGUGCGGGGAGCAAACAGGAUUAGAUACCCUGGUA